rnacentral:rRNA from 1 species
GAUGAACGCUAGCGGCAGGCUUAAUACAUGCAAGUCGAGGGGUAGCAAGAUUGUAGCAAUACAAUUGUUGACGACCGGCAAACGGGUGCGGAACACGUACACAACCUUCCUACAAGUGGGGAACAGCCCAGAGAAAUUUGGAUUAAUACCCCGUAACAUAGCGAUGUGGCAUCACAUUGCUAUUAUAGCUUCGGCGCUUGUUGAUGGGUGUGCGGCUGAUUAGAUAGUUGGCGGGGUAACGGCCCACCAAGUCUACGAUCAGUAGCUGAUGUGAGAGCAUGAUCAGCCACACGGGCACUGAGACACGGGCCCGACCCCUACGGGAGGCAGCAGUAAGGAAUAUUGGACAAUGGACGCAAGUCUGAUCCAGCCAUGCCGCGUGAAGGAUUAAGGUCCUCUGGAUUGUAAACUUCUUUUAUAAGGGACGAAAAAAGGUCUUUCUAGAUCGUCUGACGGUACCUUAUGAAUAAGCACCGGCUAACUCCGUGCCAGCCGCCGCGGUAACAC